rnacentral:rRNA from 1 species
UACGAAGGGAGCUAGCGUUGUUCGGAAUCACUGGGCGUAAAGCGCACGUAGGCGGAUUUGCCAGUCAGGGGUGAAAUCCCGGGGCUCAACCUCGGAACUGCCUUUGAUACAGCAAGUCUUGAGUUCGAGAGAGGUGGGUGGAAUUCCAGGUGUAGCGGUGAAAUGCGUAGAUAUCUGGAGGAACACCGGUGGCGAAGGCGGCAUCCUGGACCGGUAUUGACGCUGAGGCGCGAAAGCUAGGGGAGCAAACGGG